UUUACCUCGCCUCCCACCUUGACCUGGCCCCCAGCGUCUCACACAUGCCUCCCCUCACCACCUGGAGAACACACAACCACCCACCUCAGGGCACACAGAGGUGACACAAAUGACAAAUCCCUCUCCCCUUCCCCCAGGCCACAGCGGGAAGACGCGAGUACCAACGCACAUGGACGUACACGGUGCAGCUGUGUGAGCCACCCACGCGCACAGCGGCCAAGCUGCUUGACCCACUGUCCAGCCCAGCAGGAGCCCCCACACCCCCAGAAGCAUGCUCUUUCUCCCAGUCCAGGCCCUCCUGCAGUCCUUGGUGCCUGGCCCUGGCCCGACAGACGAUGGGCACUUACCCAGCGGAGCCCCUGGAUGCAGCUGGGGCGCUGGUGCUCAAGCAGCAGCUGGCCUCUUUGCUGAGCUGUCCUCUUGAACCCACCGCUUCCCGGAUCUUCCCUCGUGCCUCUAGGUAGGCGUGUCUGAACUCCCCCCUCCUGCCCUGCGUCUCCCAGCUGCCUGCUCCAGGAGCCCCACGACCGCCUGAGCCAGGAACUGGAUUCCUCUGUCUCUCCUUGUCCCACAUCAAAUCAGCCAGCAGGUCUGGUUGAUUCGACCAACGCAUAAUCUGUUACAUUCAUCCCUUAUGCCCCAGCCCUGCCGCCACUGCAGUGGGACGGUGGUGGCUUCUCCCGGCAACUUACCAUGUGCCGGGUGCUACGUCACUUUGCAGACUUUACCUUUUAAGCCUCAGAACACCCUCUGCUCGCAAGGGCAGAGGCACAGAGAGGAGAAGGAGGAGGAGAGGAGAAGUAACCUGCCCACAGCCCCACGAUGGAGUCUGGUAGAGCCAGACUCGGGCAGCGGGAUUGCAGAGCUCACGCUCCACACCAUCUUGUACCGCCUCCCAUCGCUACUCUCAGCCUCGCCUUCCUCACUCUUUCCCGUGCGAGGCUGCAGGAAUCCUCAGUUCACUCCACGGCGACAUUUACCGUGAGUGCCAGAGAUACAGCUCAAAACUGGAAAUCUGCAACUGGGCGGACCAGGGGCUGCAGGACCACAGGGCCAAGCAGAAUUUUCUUUAUCUCCUUCACACACCGAUCUGGUCAGGCCUCCCUGCCCAGCACCAUGCCUGACGUCGUGAUCUCACGGUUCACGGGAUCGAGUCCCGCAUCGGCUCGGGCUCUGUGCUG